AACGAACGCUGGCGGCAUGCCUAACACAUGCAAGUCGAACGAGACCUUCGGGUCUUGUGGCGCACGGGUGCGUAACGCGUGGGAACCUGCCCUUAGGUUCGGAAUAACUCCCCGAAAGGGGUGCUAAUACCGGAUAAUGUCUUCGGACCAAAGAUUUAUCGCCUUUGGAUGGGCCCGCGUUGGAUUAGCUAGUUGGUAGGGUAAAAGCCUGCCAAGGCGACGAUCCAUAGCUGGUCUGGGAGGAUGAUCAGCCACACUGGGACUGAGACACGGCCCAGACUCCUACGGGAGGCAGCAGUGGGGAAUAUUGGACAAUGGACGAAAGCCUGAUCCAGCAAUGCCGCGUGAGUGAUGAAGGCCUUAGGGUUGUAAAGCUCUUUUACCCGGGAUGAUAAUGACAGUACCGGGAGAAUAAGCACCGGCUAACUCCGUG
rnacentral:rRNA from 1 species